ensembl:lncRNA
UUGACACUGAAAAGUACUGACAUCGAAAAAAGACUUGCAUUGUAAAAAAAAACGCACUGAAAAAGGCUGACAUGAAGAAACAAAGAAAAUAUUGUCAUUGAAAAAGCACAUCAGAAUAAACAAAAAAAAACAUCAAAACGUCUUUUCAGUGCCCAAAGUUUUCAAUUCAAGUGUUUUAAUGCCAAAGUUCAAUUACUCAGUUUAGUUUUUUAUCAUGCUGAUUUUGUGCUUUUUCAGUGCCAAACCUAAAGUCUCUGUUUUAGCUCCAUAUCAACCCGGGUUCAAUUCAAUUUCUUUAACGCCUUUGUAUGUUGCGUUGAGAAAAGCUUCUGCUCAAUAUUCAAACUCCACUGUUAUGCUGAGGAUCUGCGUUGCGUUUGAUUCAACGCUGGUAAACAGGUGACAUACGGUCUUCAUCUGCAAGGUAACCAGGAGGUGCAGCUGAGGGGUGUGUUUAACACAUUAGGAGGGUCCUUCUGCCUGAAGACUGAUGGCAGUCCAACCUGUCAUUUUCACUGCCAACCCUCAUUAGACUCCUCCCAACGCAGUCUCAACCGCCAAUGGAUUUUCCAUCAGUAUCCAAAGAAGGGAAAGGAUGAAUUGAAAAGGAUGGCACAUGUCUCUAGUUGGGUGUGGUCUACCUUGUUGAGACACAUAUCUGGAAGCCUUACUGUGGAUGAGAUGACAGUUGAUGAGCGAGGAGACUGGAUUGGGUGUUUGUUUAAUUCUCGGCCGGUGGGUGAAUGGAAGUUUGCAGUGGCUCAGAUCCAACCCAAUCGGAGGUCUCCUGGAGUGUGCUGUCAGAAAUCUGGCAGGCUUCCGCACACAGAGGAUACUCUCUUCAAAUCACCCAAUAGGAAAUGAGAGAUGUUGGCUUUGCCUUGACAGGCAGAUAUGCGUGUGGUGCAUAUUUGAUUGGACAUAUAGAAUCUGGAAACUGCCAUACAGCGGCUUGUUGCACGGGCUAAUGUGACAUCAAAGUAGGUUUGAUGGAGGUUGCAGUAGCUUUGGAAGAUGACUUGAGGUGAUUGAAAUAGCUUUGAUGUGUAAGGAAAUUUAUGGAAGCUUAGUCCUGGUAGAACUUUUUUAUAUAUUAAUGUGUGCUGUCAUGCAUUAAAACUACUCUCUGUCCAG